GCGGGGAUAGCCAAGCCGGGCAACGGCGCAGGACUUAAACGCCGGGAGUCGCCCCCGACCCCGUGCCGAGAGAUCCUGUCGCGAAGGCGUUCGCCGGUUCGAAUCCGGCUCCCCGCA
rnacentral:tRNA from 1 species